UUAUUUUUUUCGCUUAAUCUUAAACAAAAGAACGGGGGAACCAAUUUUGUGGAGAGGUUUCCACUAGGGGUGAAUUCAGUUUUGAAAGGGCUAAGUGUUUCCUGGUCCUAACCCGACAGCUAACCUCGUCAGCGUCUUUAUAGGGAACAG
rnacentral:sRNA from 1 species